AUGUGUCGCCAGACUACGGCUCCCAGAAGCUGGGCCAGAUGGAUACGGCCUCCCCAGGGUUUUGCAAAAAUAAGAGUUGAUGGUGCGGUAAACAAAGCAAACAAUGAGGGAUCCUAUAGCGCUGUUUGCAGGGACGAGGAAGGUAUGUACUUGGGAUCUUCAGUAAUACGGUGUGUUGGAGUCACCGAUCCAACUACAUUAGAGACCCUGGCAUGUCGUGAAGCUUUGGCCCUUGCUUUGGAUUUGUCGCUAACCCAUGUGGAGAUUGCCUCAGAUUGCAAAAACGCUGUUCAAGACAUUAACCUUGGUACGGGAGGAAUGAACGCGAGCAUUGUGAAGGAGAUUAGACAGUCAAUUACUCUUUUUCAUAGUUGUGCCUUCAUCUUUGAAGGUAGAGUAUCAAAUCAAGAGGCUCAUAGCCUUGCUAAACACGCUUUUGGUCUGGAUCCGGGGCGCCAUGUGUGGCUUUUAAACCCCCCAGACGUCAACGCUAUCUCUAUGAACAUCAUUGAUUAA
rnacentral:rRNA from 1 species